rnacentral:rRNA from 1 species
UACGUAGGGUGCGAGCGUUGUCCGGAAUUAUUGGGCGUAAAGAGCUCGUAGGCGGUUUGUUGCGUCUAUCGUGAAAACCUGCGGCUUAACUGUGGGCUUGCGGUGGAUACGGGCAGACUUGAGUGGUGUAGGGGGAGACUGGAAUUCCUGGUGUAGCGGUGGAAUGCGCAGAUAUCAGGAGGAACACCAAUAGCGAAGGCAGCUCGCUGGGACGGUACUGACGCUGAGGCGCGAAAGCGUGGGGAGCGAACAGG